UCUUGGUCACUUAGAGGAAGUAAAAGUCGUAACAAGGUUUCCGUAGGUGAACCUGCGGAAGGAUCAUUAUUGAAUUUUCAAAGGGGUUGUUUGCUGGCUUCAUCUGAAGCAUGUGCACGCCUCUACAUCCACUCUUCACCCCUUGUGCACUCUUGGUAGGAUCAAAGAAAUUUGGUCCUAUGUCAUAUUUUAACACCCUAUUUAUUUAUGAACAACAUUAUAUUAUUGUUAAAAUAAUAACUUUACAACUUUCAACAACGGAUCUCUUGGCUCUCGCAUCGAUGAAGAACGCAGCGAAAUGCGAUAAGUAAUGUGAAUUGCAGAAUUCAGUGAAUCAUCGAAUCUUUGAACGCACCUUGCGCUCCUUGGUAUCCAUCCCGAGGAGCAUGCCUGUUUGAGUGUCGUGAAAUUCUCAAUCUCGUUAAAUUUUUUUGACGAGUUUGGAUUCUGGAGGCUUUGCUGGCGAAAGUUGGCUCCUCUGAAAUGCAUUAGUGAAACCUUUCCAAACGGAAAACGGGCUUUGGUUUGAUAAUUGCUUUUGUCUAUGCCAUUGCCGUCGCCGUGAUGAUUUCGCUUACAACUGUCCUUUGGACAAAUCUUGACCUCAUUUGACCUCAAAUCAGGUAGGACUACCCGCUGAACUUAAGCAUAUCAAUAA
rnacentral:rRNA from 1 species